rnacentral:misc_RNA from 1 species
GAAGGAUCAUUAUUGAAUGAACUUGGUGUGGUUGUUGCUGGCCCUCUCGGGGGCAUGUGCACACCCGCCAUCCUCAUCUCUCCACCUGUGCACCUCUUGUAGACCUGGAUAGACUUUCUGAGGCAACUCAGUCGGGAAGAUUGCUGCGCUCUGUGAGCCAGCUUUCUUUGCAUGUCCAGGCCUAUGUUUUUCAUAUACCCCUAUAGAAUGUAACAGAAUGUAUCAUUGGGCCUUGUGCCUAUAAACCUUAUACAACUUUCAGCAACGGAUCUCUUGGCUCUCGCAUCGAUGAAGAACGCAGCGAAAUGCGAUAAGUAAUGUGAAUUGCAGAAUUCAGUGAAUCAUCGAAUCUUUGAACGCACCUUGCGCUCCUUGGUAUUCCGAGGAGCAUGCCUGUUUGAGUGUCAUUAAAUUCUCAACCUUAUUAACUUUUGUUGAUAAUGGAUUGGAUGUGGGGGUUUCUUUUGCUGGCUUCUUCCCAGAUAUCAGCUCCCCUUAAA